GGGGUGACGUGGUAGGGUGGAGGUAGAGGGUUAGGGAGGGGUGACGUGGUAGGGCGGAGGUAGAGGGUUAGGGAGGGGUGACGUGGUAGGGUGGAGGUAGAGGGCUAGAGGGAGGGGUGACGUGGUAGGGUGGAGGUAGAGGGUUAGGGAGGGGUGACGUGGUAGGGCGGAGGUAGAGGGCUAGAGGGAAGGGUGACGUGGUAGGGACGGAGGUAGAGGGCUAGAGGGAGGGGUGACGUGGUAGGGACGGAGGUAGAGGGCUAGAGGGAGGGGUGACGUGGUAGGGACGGAGGUAGAGGGCUAGAGGGAGGGGUGACGUGGUAGGGACGGAGGUAGAGGGCUAGAGGGAGAGGAAGGAAUAAAGGAUUGGAUGAGAAUGUCAGGCGAUUAUAACAUUUACAUGUCUUUAGAACUGAUAUCUGUUUUGUUACCAUAGUAACCAUGCAGAGCCAAAUUCAGUCUCCUCUCAUGGUUUCUUCUGGGAUGGGGGACAACUGGUCUGUCCAGAAGAACACAACAUUAUUAUGUUCACAACAAACCCACAGGGAGCAACAGGUUGUCAGUUGGUAGAGAUGUCUGAUUGACAUUCUCCCAGCACUGUGUUUACCCCCGUCUGUUACCUGUCUGUACACUGGUACCCCCAUCUGUUACCUGUCUGUACACUGUCUGGUACCCCUGACAGUCUGUUACCUGUCUGUACACUGUCUGGUACCCCUGACAGUCUGUUACCUGUCUGUACACUGUCUGGUACCCCUGUCUGUUACCUGUCAGUACACUGGUACCUUCGUCUGUUACCUGUCUGUACACUGUCUGUACACUGUCUGUUACGUGUCUGUACACUGGUACCCCCGUCUGUUACCUGUCUGUACACUGGUACCCCCGUCUGUUUCCUGUCUGUACACUGUCUGGUAUCUCCGUCUGUACACUGUCUGUACACUUGUACCCCCGUCUGUUACCUGUCUGUACACUGUCUGGUACCCCCGUCUGUUACCUGUCUGUACCCUGUCUGGUACCCCCGUCUGUUACCUGUCUGUACACUGUCUGUUACCUGUCUGUACACUGGUACCCCCUUCUGUUACCUGUCUGUACACUGGUACCCCCAUCUGUUACCUGUCUGUACACUGGUACCCCC
ensembl:lncRNA